rnacentral:lncRNA from 1 species
CUGAUGCAUAGAUGAAUAACUCAGCGUAAGUAGUGUAUCUAGCAGUGUAAGUCACCUCGGUGAAUAAGGUGUGUGGGUUGAUACCACUACAUAGAGUUCAUUGGAAGUCACUUUGGAGAGAACGUGGGCUAAAUAAAUGUAAUGAAAAGCUUGUACUUUUUUUCUUUUUUUUUUUUUUUUUUGAAAACUAGCGAUCCGAACCAAGCCGAAAGAACAAACUUUUAGAUGUACCAACGCUAGCUUCAAGUUGUGUGUUUGGCAGCGGUUGAGAAGACCUCUUCUAGCUGCGCUGACAUCAACGCCUGUGGAACUUCGGGUCGAACGUGGGUCAGCUCCUCAAUGGCGGUGGAACUCCGCUACCCGGCCAGGAAAGGACUGUCUAGCUCGGGGGUCCACUUUGGCUUCUUCUCAGCGCCAAGACCAACAUUUAAGAGCUCGUGUGGCCGAGAGGAAAUCCUGGCAGCGUUAGAGAAAGGGAAGGUGAAAGACAUCUUUCUCAAGACCGCAGGAGAGAAGUGCCCCGCAGCAUCCAGCAGCGAGUGACAAAGACACCUGAGUGAAGAAGAAAGGCAAUCGGUGCCUGAAACAGAAGGAGAGCAGUUUCCAUUGAGCGUCAGCUUGACGGACUCUCUACCAGAUUCCGGAAAGGCAUCCUCACAGAUCUGAGUCGCGCCAGGCCCGUGUACUCAUCUGCUGGGGUAAAGGGGAUGUAUUUCUCCUCCGGGAGUAGAACGCCAGCGCAUUUCUCACUUCUUGCAGGUGACAAACUGACAUCUCAGAUCUGAAAAUACCGCCGUUCCCACUUGGCCAAGCAAUAACCCGAGCUGCUGGAGCCUCAGAAAAUGUGAGACGUGUGGUCCAAAUCUUAUCACGAGUUCUCCCAGCUUGUAGACACGUCUGCUUACCGGUCAGGAGCGAGAGAAUUGCCCUUCAGGUUUUGACAGUUACAAUGGACUUUGCUACAUGAAAGAGCUGUAGCAUCCUGAACUGACCACCAGCGUUUCACACUGUUUAACGUUCCAGGCAACAGUAAGACUGACCAUAACAUGGUAAAGCUGAUACGGCCAAAUUAAGUUUUAAAUACAUCGCACACGAUUAGCUCAUGCUCUGUUACUCUGUAACUACAUGCUGAACAAUGAAGAUACAGGAUGUUGCAUAACUGUGGGUAAUUAAAGGUAAGCCUUUUAUUCGUGUCAGUAUUUUAAGUCUGACAAGUCGUUUGGUUUAGUGGAGCAAGCACAUGGAAUUUAAAUAGGCUUUCAGUCACUGCACAGGUAAUUGCGGGAAUACCUGAUGAAUACCUAAUAUGCGGUUCGAUGCUGCACCUAUUUCCUCUAGAGUUAUUUAUAUUCUUCCUUCGUAGCAGAGAUGUUGUCCAUUUCCUCCUAUAUUGAAAAUGCAUAUUUAAACACCUGCCUCGGCUUCCAUCGUGAUGUACACAGUCAUUACAGUGUGGUACAAAAGGACAGAAAAGGACUUUCUAGGAAGAAAGACGUUGUAUCACAUUAUGCAACUUUUCUCUUUUUUUUGUAUCCGUGUAUAG